rnacentral:piRNA from 1 species
UAUUGCUUCUUUUAGAUGCUG